GACGAACGCUGGCGGCGUGCUUAACACAUGCAAGUCGAACGGUGAUCCACUUUCGGGUGGUGAUCAGUGGCGAACGGGUGAGUAACACGUGAGCAACCUGCCCCUGGCUCUGGGACAACCACUGGAAACGGUGGCUAAUACCGGAUAUGACCCGCCAUCGCAUGGUGUGUGGGUGGAAAGUUUUUCGGCUGGGGAUGGGCUCGCGGCCUAUCAGCUUGUUGGUGGGGUGAUGGCCUACCAAGGCGACGACGGGUAGCCGGCCUGAGAGGGCGACGGGCCACACUGGGACUGAGACACGGCCCAGACUCCUACGGGAGGCAGCAGUGGGGAAUAUUGCACAAUGGGCGAAAGCCUGAUGCAGCGACGCCGCGUGAGGGAUGACGGCCUUCGGGUUGUAAACCUCUUUCAGCUCCGAAGAAUCGCAAGUGACGGUAGGAGCAGAAGAAGCACCGGCUAACUACGUGCCAGCCGCCGCAGUAACAC
rnacentral:rRNA from 1 species